rnacentral:rRNA from 1 species
UACGUAGGGACCAAGCGUUGUCCGGAAUCAUUGGGCGUAAAGAGCGUGUAGGCGGCCUGUUAAGUCUUGCGUGAAAUCUCGGGGCUCAACCCCGAGCGGUCGUGAGAAACUGGCAGGCUAGAGUGCGGGAGAGGAGAGUGGAAUUCCUGGUGUAGCGGUGAAAUGCGCAGAUAUCAGGAAGAACACCAACGGCGAAGGCAGCUCGCUGGGACGGUACUGACCCUGAGGCGCGAAAGCGUGGGGAGCGAACAGG